UGGGGAAUUUUGGACAAUGGGCGAAAGCCUGAUCCAGCAAUGCCGCGUGUGUGAAGAAGGCCUUCGGGUUGUAAAGCACUUUUGUCCGGAAAGAAAUCCUUGGCUCUAAUACAGUCGGGGGAUGACGGUACCGGAAGAAUAAGCACCGGCUAACUACGUGCCAGCAGCCGCGGUAAUACGUAGGGUGCAAGCGUUAAUCGGAAUUACUGGGCGUAAAGCGUGCGCGGGCGGUUUGCUAAGACCGAUGUGAAAUCCCCGGGCUCAACCUGGGAACUGCAUUGGUGACUGGCAGGCUAGAGUAUGGCAGAGGGGGGUAGAAUUCCACGUGUAGCAGUGAAAUGCGUAGAGAUGUGGAGGAAUACCGAUGGCGAAGGCAGCCCCCUGGGCCAAUACUGACGCUCAUGCACGAAAGCGUGGGGAGCAAACAGGAUUAGAUACCCUGGUAGUCCACGCCCUAAACGAUGUCAACUAGUUGUUGGGGAUUCAUUUCCUUAGUAACGUAGCUAACGCGUGAAGUUGACCGCCUGGGGAGUACGGUCGCAAGAUUAAAACUUAAAUGAAUUGACGGGGUCAUAGCUGUUUCCU
rnacentral:rRNA from 1 species